AAUGAACGCUGGCGGCAUGCCUAACACAUGCAAGUCGAACGGGACCUUCGGGGUUAGUGGCGGACGGGUGCGUAACGCGUGGGAAACUGCCUUUGGGUUCGGAACAACUCCUGGAAAGGGGUGCUAAUACCGGAUAUUGUCUUCGGUACAAAGAUUGAUCGCAGUUGGUGGGGCCGGGGUUGGAUUGCUUAGUUGUGAGGGUAAGAGCCUACGAAGGCGAGGAUCGAUAGCUGGGUUGAGAGGAGGCGCAGCCACACUGGUGGUGGGCAACGGCCCAGACUCCUAGGGGAGGCAGCAGUGGGGAAUACUGGACAGGCGGCGGAAGCAUGAAGCAGCACUGCCGGGUGAGUGAUGAAGGUUGGGGGGUAGUACAGCUCUUUUACCCGGGAUGAUAAUGACGGUACCGAGAGAAUAAGCACCGGCUAACUCCGUG
rnacentral:rRNA from 1 species